rnacentral:ncRNA from 1 species
GGUUAAUAAUAACUAGAACUUCUAAAUUAGCUGAUGGGAGCUACCGGACGCUUCUUGCAUGGUACUUUAUGUAUUUCAUGGUAGAUCUCUCUGUUCACAGCACCUAAUUUUCUAGUUAAAAAUAAAUUAUGAACAGCAAAGAAAGACAUGAAGCUAGAUAU